rnacentral:rRNA from 1 species
AUUGAACGCUGGCGGCAUGCCUUACACAUGCCAGUCGAACGGUAACGGGCCUUCGGGUGCCGACGAGUGGCGAACGGGUGAGUAAUACAUCGGAACGUGCCCGAUCGUGGGGGAUAACGAGGCGAAAGCUUUGCUAAUACCGCAUACGAUCUACGGAUGAAAGCAGGGGACCGCAAGGCCUUGCGCGGACGGAGCGGCCGAUGGCAGAUUAGGUAGUUGGUGGGAUAAAAGCUUACCAAGCCGACGAUCUGUAGCUGGUCUGAGAGGAUGAUCAGCCACACUGGGACUGAGACACGGCCCAGACUCCUACGGGAGGCAGCAGUGGGGAAUUUUGGACAAUGGGCGCAAGCCUGAUCCAGCCAUGCCGCGUGCAGGAUGAAGGCCUUCGGGUUGUAAACUGCUUUUGUACGGAACGAAAAGCCUUCUUUUAAUACAGGAGGGUCAUGACGGUACCGUAAGAAUAAGCACCGGCUAACUACGUGC